rnacentral:lncRNA from 1 species
GGGGGCAGCAAGGCCGCCGCGGCGGCGCCCCGGGGUCGCGGCUCCCCUCACCGAUGACGAUGCGCAGGUGCUUGAGGCGGGUCAGCGCGUCCUUCUUGGUGUCCAGCACCUUCUGGGUGGACUUCUUCACGUCCCCGUGCGGCUUCUUAGAGAACAUCCUGCGGCCGCCGCGGCCCCUCCCGGCCGGGUCCCGACGACCCAGCGCAGGCGGUGGGCGGGGAAGAGGCUAGCCGCGGCGGCUCAUGCGUUCCCCCGCGUCCGCCGCUGCCGCGCGGGCCCCGCUGCCAGGCCCGCCUCUCGCCGCCGCCGCCGCACGGAACCUGCAGCCCCGGCUCCAAUAUGGCGGAUCCGCCCCGCGCGCUGCAGCGACGAGGAGACGCGGAGCGGCCGCCGCCGCCCAGGCCGCGGCAGGAAUCCCCACAGCCGCGGAGAGGGAGCGCUCCGCCGCGGCGCCACUCCUCUCUCCCUGAGGCCCCCUUAAGGUUGAAGCGUCUCUAGCAGCUUCAACCCCGCGGAGGCCAAAACCGAGUCGUGUGGUGAUGGAGUUUCACGACUCUGCCGUCGGUGGCGAACGGUCCCCGUGGCAACCGCCUUCUGACGUCAAGUGCUCGUGACGUCAUGUCAGCGUGAGCUCAUUCCUGCCUCUAUAGCCUCUUGGUUUCCUGUGUCUGUAGUAAUGAAGAAGGGCAAGAAAGUUAAGGAAGGUGUUGUCUACUGUGUGCUCCUUGUAAACAGCGGUUCCUAGAGUUUUUGUUGAAAAAGUCGUUCAUCUCCACUCUUUAAACCGCUCUGAGUAACUUAAACAUCAGAACAGAUGUGCAAGGCCAGCUUGAUACUAGCUCUGAAGCCUUGGCUCUGACGUCAUUUCACUUUCUAAUUUGGAUAUUUCCUGUGUUUUGCAAACCGUUCACUUUCUAAUUUGGAUUCUUCCUGCGUCUUGCAAAAUAAUGAUUAAAAAUGUACUGUACUU